AUGCGAUACCUAGUGUGAAUUGCAGGGCUCAGUGAAUCAUCGAAACUUUGAACGCAUAUUGCGCUCAUGGGUGACCAUGAGCACGUCUGUUUGAGGAACGGUA
rnacentral:rRNA from 1 species